AGAGACAGCAGCCGCCGCGGUAAUACGAAGGGGGCUAGCGUUGUUCGGAUUUACUGGGCGUAAAGGGCUCGCAGGCGGUUUCUUAAGUCUGAUGUGAAAGCCCCCGGCUCAACCGGGGAGGGUCAUUGGAAACUGGGAAACUUGAGUGCAGAAGAGGAGAGUGGAAUUCCACGUGUAGCGGUGAAAUGCGUAGAGAUGUGGAGGAACACCAGUGGCGAAGGCGACUCUCUGGUCUGUAACUGACGCUGAGGAGCGAAAGCGUGGGGAGCGAACAGGAUUAGAGACCCCCGUAGUCCCUGUCUCUUAUAC
rnacentral:rRNA from 1 species